rnacentral:rRNA from 1 species
CGUUCCCAGGCCUUGUACACACCGCCCGUCACAUCAUGAAAGCCGGUUGUACCCGAAGUCGCCCCUAAGAAGGUGCCGAAGGUAUGGCUGGUGAUUGGGAUG